rnacentral:rRNA from 1 species
GACAGAGAUGCAAGCGUUAUCCGGAAUGAUUGGGCGUAAAGCGUCUGUAGGUGGCUUUUAAGUCCGCCGUCAAAUCCCAGGCUCAACCCUGGACAGGCGGUGGAAACUACCAAGCUGGAGUACGGUAGGGCAGAGGGAAUUUCCGGUGGAGCGGUGAAAUGCGUAGAGAUCGGAAAGAACACCAACGGCGAAAGCACUCUGCUGGGCCGACACUGACACUGAGAGACGAAAGCUAGGGGAGCGAAUGGGAUUAGAACCGUACGUAGU